rnacentral:rRNA from 1 species
UGGGAGGCUUUGAAGUGUGGACGCCAGUCUGCAUGGAGCCGACCUUGAAAUACCACCCUUUAAUGUUUGAUGUUCUAACGUGGACCCGUGAUCCGGGUUGCGGACAGUGUCUGGUGGGUAGUUUGACUGGGGCGGUCUCCUCCUAAAGAGUAACGGAGGAGCACGAAGGUUGGCUAAUCCUGGUCGGACAUCAGGAGGUUAGUGCAAUGGCAUAAGCCAGCUUGACUGCGAGCGUGACGGCGCGAGCAGGUGCGAAAGCAGGUCAUAGUGAUCCGGUGGUUCUGAAUGGAAGGGCCAUCGCUCAACGGAUAAAAGGUACUCCGGGGAUAACAGGCUGAUACCGCCCAAGAGUUCAUAUCGACGGCGGUGUUUGGCACCUCGAUGUCGGCUCAUCACAUCCUGGGGCUGAAGUAGGUCCCAAGGGUAUGGCUGUUCGCCAUUUAAAGUGGUACGCGAGCUGGGUUUAGAACGUCGUGAGACAGUUCGGUCCCUAUCUGCCGUGGGCGCUGGAGAACUGAGGGGGGCUGCUCCUAGUACGAGAGGACCGGAGUGGACGCAUCACUGGUGUUCGGGUUGUCAUGCCAAUGGCACUGCCCGGUAGCUAAAUGCGGAAGAGA